UACGUAGGGGGCGAGCGUUAUCCAGAUUUACUGGGCGUAAAGCGUGCGCAGGCGGUUUUGUAAGCCAGAUGUGAAAUCCCCGAGCUUAACUUGGGAACUGCAUUUGGGACUGCAAGGCUAGAGUACGGCAGAGGGGGGUAGAAUUCCUGGUGUAGCAGUGAAAUGCGUAGAUAUCAGGAGGAAUACCGAUGGCGAAGGCAGCCCCCUGGGUCGAUACUGACGCUCAUGCACGAAAGCGUGGGGAGCAAACAGG
rnacentral:rRNA from 1 species